UGAAAUUUUGGGUGUUUUUUGACUUUUAGAUGGGUAUUAAAGAUAUUUGGUUAAGUUUAUAGGGCUAUUAAGAGGUUUUGAAGAGUUUAUGGCAUAAGGGACUGAGAAGGGUCUUAAAGAUUUUUGCGAAAGUAAUUUUUUGUACCUUUUGUAUCAGGGUGUACUAAAAUUAUUAAUUGAUUUUAAUCUCCCGAAGAAGAAUGAGCUAUACGCUCAAUUCUCUAUUGUGGCAAAAAUGGGGUUAAUGAGCGUAUAGGGGUGAGAUGUCUUUCGGAUUCUGUGGUAUCUGGUUCUAACAGAAAUUAUUGAGGAAAGCAUUAGGAGGUUAAUCUCCUAGUAUAAAGGUUAGUAGGGAUAAGCUUAUUAACCUAUCUCUAUAUAUGAUACUUGUUUUCUAUAGGUGAGGCUUGAUAGUGGCUUUUUGUUUUAUAACAAAAAUUUUAUUUUGGUAUUAGUUAGGUAUGUUAGGGUGACAGCAGAUUUUUAUUGUUAGUAAUAAUGGUAGGAUUAGUAGAAUAUGUAUUAUUUAUUGAACUGAGUUAAAUAAGGUAGGGUAAAUUGGUAAGAGAUGCCAGUAAGGAAUUCGGCAAAUAUUUUUCUUAACUGUUUAUCAAAAACAUUUCUUUAAGCAGAGUAAUUAAAGUAAAUUCUGCCCCCUGAUUGAUGUUUUAAAGGGCCGCAGUAGCCUGACUGUGCUAAGGUAGCAUAAUCAUUAGGUUUUUAAUUGGGAUCUGGUAUGAAUGGAUAAAUAGGGAGAAUCUGUCUUUUGGCAAGUUUUGAAGUUAAAUUUUUAGUAAGAAUGCUAGGAUGCUUCUAUGGGACGAUAAGACCCUAUAAAGCUUUAUUAAUUUUUUUAUAAAAAUUUUGACUAAUUUUAUAUGGAAUUUAAUUUGACUGGGGCGGUAGCUACUAAACUUAGUUUAGCUUAGAGUUAUGGGGAUCCAUUAUUAAUGAAACAAGAUUUAGUUACUUUAGGGAUAACAGCAUAAUAUACCCAUGGAGUUCUAAUCGAAGGGUAUGAUUGUGACCUCGAUGUUGAAUUAAUUUUAUUAUAGGGUGUAGAAGCUCUAUGAGUUAGUCUGUUCGACUAUUGAAUAAUUACAUGAUUUGAGUUCAAACCGGUUUAAGCCAGGUUGG
rnacentral:rRNA from 1 species